rnacentral:rRNA from 1 species
AUGGAUGACAUGGUUGACGCAUUGGUUCUUAAGCUUCAGUCAAAGAUAUGCUACCAUAGGGAUGCCAGUGUCGAGUACCUGGAAAUCAAGUCUAUGGUUGAUAAACUCGUAGAAGCAAACAAAAAGCUCAAGGAUGAGAAAGUGGACUUCCAGGAUGUUAUUAAUAUGGUCAUAGAAGACAAGGAGAAUUUGCAGCAUGACUGUCAAGUAAUCAAGGAGCAGGUGGAAAAAAAGGAGGAGCAACUUGAAACUGUAAAGAAGGAACUUGAAGAAGCAAAACAUGAACAUGUGGCAGCAAAGAAGGAGCUUGAGGAAGAAAAACAUGGCCAUAUUGCAACAAAGAAGGAGCUUGCGGCGGCACAACAACAACUUGCUCAAAGGAACCAAGAGCUGGAGGGUUUAAGGAAGAAGAUUCAAGAGAGUGAACAUGUACCUUCCACAAGGGUAACAAGAUCUGCACAUAAGCGGCAAAUGCUGCUCCAAGGAUCGUUGAGCAACAAUGCGGAUGGACAUCGCCCAAAGAAACGUAGGAGGUCCUACCAGCAUGCAAGCCAAGAUGACAACUUGGAGGUGAUCAGGCAAAUCUGA